rnacentral:tRNA from 1 species
UCCGCGGUAGCCAAGCUGGUAAGGCAGGGGACUUUGGAUCCUCGACCGAAGGUUCGAAUCCUUCCCGCGGAACCA